rnacentral:rRNA from 1 species
UACGUAGGUGGCAAGCGUUGUCCGGAAUUAUUGGGCGUAAAGCGCGCGCAGGUGGUUUCUUAAGUCUGAUGUGAAAGCCCACGGCUCAACCGUGGAGGGUCAUUGGAAACUGGGGAACUUAGUGCAGGAGAGAAGAGUGGAAUUCCACGUGUAGCGGUGAAAUGCGUAGAGAUGUGGAGGAACACCAGUGGCGAAGGCGACUCUUUGGCCUGUAACUGACACUGAGGCGCGAAAGCGUGGGGAGCAAACAGG